UUAAUUGCCACCAUGAAGAAAUACAUAUACUAAAAUUGGAAUGAUACAGAGAAGAUUAGCAUGGCCCCUUUGCAAGGAUAACAUACAAAUUCGUGAAGCGUUCCAUACUUUA